rnacentral:rRNA from 1 species
CCGCGGUAAUACGUAGGGUGCAAGCGUUAAUCGGAAUUACUGGGCGUAAAGCGUGCGCAGGCGGUUUUGUAAGACAGGUGUGAAAUCCCCGGGCUUAACCUGGGAACUGCAUUUGUGACUGCAAGGCUAGAAUCUGGCAGAGGGGGGUAGAAUUCCACGUGUAGCAGUGAAAUGCGUAGAGAUGUGGAGGAACACCGAUGGCGAAGGCAGCCCCCUGGGUCAAGAUUGACGCUCAUGCACGAAAGCGUGGGGAGCAAACAGG